rnacentral:rRNA from 1 species
CCUACGGGAGGCAGCAGUGGGGGAUAUUGCACAAUGGGGGAAACCCUGAUGCAGCGACGCCGCGUGUGGGAAGAUGGUCCUCUGGAUUGUAAACCACUGUCCCCAGGGACGAAGAUGACGGUACCUGGGGAGGAAGCACCGGCUAACUACGUGCCAGCAGCCGCGGUAAUACGUAGGGAGCGAGCGUUGUCCGGAAUUACUGGGUGUAAAGGGAGCGUAGGCGGGGAGGCCAGUUGGGUGUCAAAACUACCUGCUCAACUGGUAGUCGCACUCAAAACUGCAGCUCUUGAGUGAAGUAGAGGCAGGCGGAAUUCCUAGUGUAGCGGUGACAUGCGUAGAUAUUAGGAGGAACACCAGUGGCGAAGGCGGCCUGCUGAGCUUUUACUGACGCUGAGGCUCGAAAGUGUGGGGAGCAAACAGGAUUAGAUACCCCGGUAGUC